AUUGAACGCUGACGGCAGGCCUAACACAUGCCAGUCGAGCGGAUGAAGGGAGCUUGCUCCUGGAUUCAGCGGCGGACGGGUGAGUAAUGCCUAGGAAUCUGCCUGGUAGUGGGGGAUAACGUCCGGAAACGGGCGCUAAUACCGCAUACGUCCUGAGGGAGAAAGUGGGGGAUCUUCGGACCUCACGCUAUCAGAUGAGCCUAGGUCGGAUUAGCUAGUUGGUGGGGUAAAGGCCUACCAAGGCGACGAUCCGUAACUGGUCUGAGAGGAUGAUCAGUCACACUGGAACUGAGACACGGUCCAGACUCCUACGGGAGGCAGCAGUGGGGAAUAUUGGACAAUGGGCGAAGGCCUGAUCCAGCCAUGCCGCGUGUGUGAAGAAGGUCUUCGGAUUGUAAAGCACUUUAAGUUGGGAGGAAGGGCAGUAAGUUAAUACCUUGCUGUUUUGACGUUACCAACAGAAUAAGCACCGGCUAACUUCGUG
rnacentral:rRNA from 1 species